GCACGCGAUUAUUUGCAUAUUGAUAUGGCCGCUUCUUAUAUGGUGGGCGAUAAAUUAGAAGAUAUGCAGGCAGCGGCUGCGGCGAACGUGGGAACAAAAGUGCUGGUGCGUACGGGUAAACCUAUUACGCCUGAAGCAGAAAACGCGGCGGAUUGGGUGUUAAAUAGCCUGGCAGACCUGCCGCAAGCGAUAAAAAAGCAGCAAAAACCGGCAUAAUGAUUAAAAGAUGAGCGAUUGAAAUAAAAAUGCAUUUUUCCACUUGUCUUCCUGAGACGACUCCCUAUAAUGCGCCUUCAUCGACACGGCGGAUGUGAAUCACUUCACACAAACAGCCGAUUCGGUUGAAGAGAAAAAUCCUGAAAUUCAGGGUUGACUCUGAAAGAGGAAAGCGUAAUAUACGCCACCUCGCGACAGUGCGCUAAAGUGCGUCGCAACUGCUCUUUAACAAUUUAUCAGACAAUCUGUGUGGGCACUCGAAGAUACGGAUUCUUAACGUCGAAAGACGAAAAAUGAAUACCAAGUCUCAAGAGUGAACACGUAAUUCAUUACGAAGUUUAAUUCUUUGAGCAUCAAACUUUUAAAUUGAAGAGUUUGAUCAUGGCUCAGAUUGAACGCUGGCGGCAGGCCUAACACAUGCAAGUCGAACGGUAACAGGAAACAGCUUGCUGUUUCGCUGACGA
rnacentral:rRNA from 1 species